rnacentral:piRNA from 1 species
UUAGAGCUGUCUUCAGAGCUUUCCU